rnacentral:rRNA from 1 species
UACGAAGGGGGCUAGCGUUGCUCGGAAUCACUGGGCGUAAAGCGCACGUAGGCGGAUUGCUAAGUCAGGGGUGAAAUCCUGGAGCUCAACUCCAGAACUGCCUUUGAUACUGGCGAUCUUGAGUCCGGGAGAGGUGAGUGGAACUGCGAGUGUAGAGGUGAAAUUCGUAGAUAUUCGCAAGAACACCAGUGGCGAAGGCGGCUCACUGGCCCGGUACUGACGCUGAGGUGCGAAAGCGUGGGGAGCAAAC